CGACACCACCCAGGCAGGACUUGCACCUGUGGAUCUCCCUGCACCGGGGAGCUGGGAGGGCAGAGGUGGUCUCUGACGCUCUCUUAUCGGCCCAAGGUCAUCAGCCUUGCCCUGUAGAGUCCCACUGCCCAUGCCAAGGGCUGUUCACAUAGGACAUAACUGUCCUUGGGCUUUGGCUCAGAGCUCCUGAGAACAGAAGAUAUUUUAUUGAAUGUGUAAGAAACUAGAAAAUGCAACAAAUCAAGAACUCACACACCAGCCUGUAAGACGUCUGGUUGUUAAGUGGUCACCAGCAUACCACUGCCUCUUCUUCAUCUUCCUGUGGGUUUCCCUGAGGAGAUUUCCAGGCCUGCAGAGCACCACCAAAGGACGUCUACUGUGAAAGAAAGCAAGCAGUGGCCACUUCCCAGAAGAUUUCACUGGCUGAGACUUGGAAUACAUAAGUACCAGGGCCACACUGAAUACUUUCUGGAGGGGUACAGAUAAAACAGACCAUCCAGCAGGCCACCUUCUGGAGUUUGACUACCUAGAGUUGCAGCUUUUGUCCUUCCCACUCGGUCCUAAAACAUAGUGUUGGGUCCCAAUGGAUCGCAGCAUGUCCUGAGAUCCUGAGCCAUAACAAUCACCAUGGGGGAAUUUCUCCUGGGUCUGAUGGCCCAGGGGCUUUGCUUUCCUGCCAAAUCCUUCUCUCCUCUCCAACAUUUAUAAAGCAGACUCGGACUUUCUCUCAUCAACCCAUCAGCUGUCUUGGUCCCACCCAAGACACCCCUGUGGAGCAUCCCCAACCAAGUAGGUAGCAGGGAUCAGUCCCUUUUAUUCACCACUGUAUACCAAAUGCCAAGCCCGGUGUCGGUUAUCUAGUAGGUACACACUAAUGACUUAAUAAAUGGAUGAAUAGCCAAAUCCCUGUGAUCAUAUUUAAGGAUGACAUCAGAGAAUCUUGGGUAGGGAUGGGCAAUUUUAAAAGUUCAGGACAAAGUAUGAUGAAACCAGAUUCCAGAUCAGUCUUGGCAGUUAACUUGUUUAAGUUCUUAACUUCCUUGGACUUCCAUCCCUUCAACAAGAAAACAGCAACUGCAUUCUAGCUCUUUUAUUCUGAGUCUACCACUUAACAGCAGACCCUGGCAAACUAAACUUUCUGAGCCUCGUUGGGACUAUCUACAAAUAAAGCCAACACAACCUAUGUUCUUUUAAAACCUCAGUGCAAGAAUUAAAAUAUAUGAGAGUGUUCUAGUACAGAAUGAGUGUCGCAUAGAUUUUUCAUAGCUUUCCCUUCUCUUUUCUGGCUUAACAACCCAUGAUUCCUC
ensembl:lncRNA